rnacentral:rRNA from 1 species
GAAAGUGACGGUACCUGCAGAAGAAGCACCGGCUAACUACGUGCCAGCAGCCGCGGUAAUACGUAGGGUGCGAGCGUAUCCGGAAUUAUUGGGCGUAAAGAGCUCGUAGGCGGUUUGUCGCGUCUGUCGUGAAAGUCCGGGGCUUAACCCCGGAUCUGCGGUGGGUACGGGCAGACUAGAGUGCAGUAGGGGAGACUGGAAUUCCUGGUGUAGCGGUGGAAUGCGCAGAUAUCAGGAGGAACACCGAUGGCGAAGGCAGGUCUCUGGGCUGUAACUGACGCUGAGGAGCGAAAGCAUGGGGAGCGAACAGGAUUAGAUACCCUGGUAGUCCAUGCCGUAAACGUUGGGCACUAGGUGUGGGGACCAUUCCACGGUUUCCGCGCCGCAGCUAACGCAUUAAGUGCCCCGCCUGGGGAGUACGGCCGCAAGGCUAAAACUCAAAGGAAUUGACGGGGGCCCGCACAAGCGGCGGAGCAUGCGGAUUAAUUCGAUGCAACGCGAAGAACCUUACCAAGGCUUGACAUGUUCUCGAUCGCCGU